CACUGUCUGUCUUCCUCUGACCGUGGGUCUGUCUCCAAGUUUGUGAUGCUCUCUUGCUUUCUCUGUGAGUAUUUGUCUCAAAUGAUCUGGGAGUGUGUCAAGCUCAGGUCUGGGAGUGUGUGUGUGUGUACUGUAUAUGUGUGUGUGAAGCUCAGGUCUGGGAGUGUGUCAAGCUCAGGUCUGGGAGUGUGUGAAGCUCAGGUCUGGGAGUGUGUGAAGCUCAGGUCUGGGAGUGUGUGAAGCUCAGGUCUGGGAGUGUGUGAAGCUCAGGUCUGGGAGUGUGUGAAGCUCAGGUCUGGGAGUGUGUGUGUGUACUGUAUAUGUGUGUGUGAAGCUCAGGUCUGGGAGUGUGUGUGUGUGUGUGUACUGUAUAUGUGUGUGUGAAGCUCAGGUCUGGGAGUGUGUGUGUGUGUGUGUACUGUAUAUGUGUCGGCAUGUGUUUUUCUCUGUAGUUUUUGAACGUUUGUGUGUUUGUUUUCUGUUUUCCCAUCUACUUUGUGCCACGGUGUGUCUGAUAGUCUGCUGAUAGAGGUUAGUGUUGAUGGCAUUUGAGUCUAUUCGUCUCAUGUAUUUCUCGCCUUCUCUGACAGUCCAAUAUUUCUCCUCAUAAUGGUUGACACAAUCGGUGUCUCUACCCUGUCACCUUUCCCAUUCUCCUUUUUACCUACUCGUUCAUUUUCUUCUCUCCUUUUUGACUAGACGAUGUUCCUUUGUUUCUCAUCUUCUUGCACCAAUCAUCUGGAAGGUUGUUAUUCUCUGUCCCUUCACGUCUGCUUCUCUUUGUGCCUCACUGUCACUUUCUAUUGACAUCUCCCUCCCUUCCAUCCUCCCUCCCUCCCUUCCAUCCU